rnacentral:rRNA from 1 species
AGUGAACGCUGGCGGUAGGCCUAACACAUGCAAGUCGAACGGCAGCACAGUAAGAGCUUGCUCUUACGGGUGGCGAGUGGCGGACGGGUGAGGAAUACAUCGGAAUCUACUUUUUCGUGGGGGAUAACGUAGGGAAACUUACGCUAAUACCGCAUACGACCUACGGGUGAAAGCAGGGGAUCUUCGGACCUUGCGCGAUUGAAUGAGCCGAUGUCGGAUUAGCUAGUUGGCGGGGUAAAGGCCCACCAAGGCGACGAUCCGUAGCUGGUCUGAGAGGAUGAUCAGCCACACUGGAACUGAGACACGGUCAAGACCACUACGGGAGGCAGCAGUGGGGAAUAUUGGACAAUGGGCGCAAGCCUGAUCCAGCCAUACCGCGUGGGUGAAGAAGGCCUUCGGGUUGUAAAGCCCUUUUGUUGGGAAAGAAAAGCAGCAGGUUAAUACCCCGCUGUUCUGACGGUACCCAAAGAAUAAGCACCGGCUAACUUCGUG